rnacentral:tRNA from 1 species
UGGGGCGUCGCCAAGUGGACUAAGGCAGCGGACUUUGAAUCCGCCAUUCGGAGGUUCGAAUCCUCCCGCCCCAG